UAAUAAGAAUGGCAGUCAGAUGAGAGUGGAGGCAUGUUUUGCACUGCCCAGAGUUGCUAAAGAACUGGGGAAAUCCUCUGAGUUUUGUUCUUUUUUUAUCAGGAAGUCCACAUUUUCUAGUGUUUUGUUUGUGCCCCUACUGUUACUGGAUCAGAUACCCUUUAAAGGGCAUUGGACAAAUCCAUGGAGAUAUCUAGUUAUCUUGGCUGGAGGACAACUGCCCGGGUAGCAGAAAGUCACACGACGCCUGCCAUCGCUGUGGAGGAAGAUUAUCUUGAACUCCUUGCCUUUUGAACACUGGAAUUUCAUCUGUGCCUUGUGUGCUUAGACCACCAGCUUUCCUCCAACCUUCAAACGGUAAGUAACUGCUGUACCAGCUUUCUAGUUUGCCCCUUUGAUUGUGUUGGCAAGCACUGUGCUGUUUCUGGACUGUGCUCCUGGUUCUUAACUCCAGACUUGCAUUAAAGGCUCUGAAUCCUGGUUCAGGCCCUUAAAGAACUGUGCUAUUUAUGAGAAGGCUUCAUUCUGCUGCAACUUGCUUUCUAGUUUUAAGCAU
rnacentral:lncRNA from 1 species